GGCCAUACCUGUGGCCUGUGGAAAUUUCCAGGCUGGGGUAGAAUCGCAGAUAUAGCAGCCAGCCUACACAGCCACAGCAACUCCAGAUUCAAACCAUAUCUGCAGCCUACACCACAGCUGACAGCAAUGCCAGAUCCUUAACCCACUGAGCAAAGCCAGGGAUUGAACCUGCAUCCUCAUGGAUAGUAGUCGGAUUUGUUACCCCUGAGCCAUGACAGGAACUUCCAUGCUAGACCACUCAAACAGUUUCUUAAUACCACUUAUAUCAAUUUUCCAAUUUCUUAAAUGGCUGACUUUUCCUGUAGUUAAUUACACACAGAGCCUUUUUCAUUAUUGAAAAACUAAAGAAAUUGGAUGUGAUAUUAUAUGUUUGACAAGGUAGGGUAGUUCAAAAGUAAGGGCCAGUAGGAAGCAGGGUGAAAACCAGAAACAUGAAAACAAGAAAUAAAUUGUUUACAGGCUCAUAGUACAUCGAAGUUAAAAGGAAUCCAAAUUUAACUUUCACAAGAAUCUUCCUCCUAGCAUAUGCAUAAUAAUCAUAAUUUUUGUCAACCUCUCAGUGUUUUCUGUGUAAACUCAUUUAAAUGACAGAUCACUUGGUAUAAGGUUCCACACAUUUUCCUAUUUUCAACAUGUUUUUACAGAUAUCAUGUAUUAUCCUGGAAUUUUGAAAUGAGCUGGCUACUUAUAUUCAGAUUUCCACUGAAUGUAAAAUAUUUUGCUUUUCUGUUCUCACUUUCUUACUACUCUGACUUUCCUGGCACAAUUACCUGGACUAUUCUUGGUUUUCCUUUUGCUGCCCCAAUCCUUAAUAUUUUUUGUGAUGUAAUAAUGAUAACUUAAGAUUUACUUAACGUUAGUUUUAACAUGUGAAGGCAAGAACUAUUGUUACCCCCAUAUUCAUGUGAAGAAGCCGAGGCAUAGAGAAGUUAGAUAAUUUACCCAAGGGCCUACCGCUAGUGAAAAGCACAUCUUGGAAUCAAGCACAUUUUUUUUCUAACUGUAGGGCCUAAAUUCUUAACCACUAUAUUCUGAGACAGAGAAAAGCAGUCCUGGACAUCAAGUGACUGGUCUGUUGCUGUCAGCUAGGUCUUGGUAUUGCUAGGAGCUAGCCUGCCACAGCUUGGCUUUGGUGCCUUCUGUUGAAUAUAAACUGUUUCAGAGAAUAUCACCUUCAGAAAGGGUUACUUCAUGAUGGAUCAGAACAAAAAUAAGGUUAUUACAUAAUCAUGUCUCAACAUAGACAAAAACAAACUUUAUGUAAGUCACCAAGUGGAAUACACAAACUGAAAAUAUCAAACCAAUGUGAGCAGCCAUUGCUUCUUAACCAUUUAUAGAUUUAUCCUCAUUCUAGUCUUCCUUCUUUCUACAUAAGAUUUAUUAAUUUACCCGACUGUAGAACUAACCUUGCUGCCUGACAGCAUCCAAUUCAGAGCAAAGUCCUUUAAGUCACCAAACAACCCAAAUCUUAACAUAAGUUCUUUCUAACACCCUCUUACUGAGAUGCCGUAUGGUUCCCCAUAGUGUGUGUGCUCCCUUGCUGCAAUGAGUAAUUAGCUUAACUUGUUCAACCACAGGUGUGUUCCUGGUGAUCUUUGGGUAGAGAGCAAUGAAAUUUCUUUCUGAACUGUCCUAUACCAUGCAUGUUUAUGGAAUAGUGGAACAUACUAGUUAGCCAUUUCUCAUGAGUGAAAAACGUUGGGAACUACCCUCCCAUCUCCAGCCAUAGGACUGCCAUACCAUAUCUAGAGAGUUACUUUCUUUUUUAUAGAUUUUUACAUAAAUUCUCUGUUAAAUAGAACCUUAUCAAAAGAUAGUGAAAAGAAACAAAUGAUGCUGGACAUCAUUUUGCAAGGAAAAAAACUUCUGUCAACCCCUAUCUUGUACUGUGUGCAAAAUAGCUAAAAUAGACCAUAAAUAUAAAUGUAAAGUUAUAAAAAAAUUUUUAGAAGAAAACAUAGAAAAUCUUUGUCAUCUCUGGCUAGGAAAAAAAUGUCUUGGAUAAACUCCCAAAGCAAAAUCCAUAAAAAUUUUUUUUUUUACUUUAUAAAAACUUAUGUUCUGUAGAUGAGACUGUUCAGAAAAUGGAAGGACAAGCAACAAACUGGGAGAAAAUAUUUGCAAAAAUACAUAUCUGAUAAAUGACUGUAUCCAGACUCUAUGAAGAACCACAACUUGAUAAGAAGUGUCACUACUUGGUUUAAAAAUAAUUCCAGGAGUUCCCAUUGUGGCUCAGUGGUAACAAACCUGACUAGUAUCCAUGAGUAUGUGAGUUCUAUCCUUGAUGAUAUAUUAAGCAUCUCUGAGACUGUCAGAACUGGGAAAAUAUAAUCGCAUUUCAAAAAUUGAUUUACAGCUUUCAGGAACAUAUUUAUUUAGCAAAUGAGAUUCCUAUACUGUACUGUAAAGAUAAGGGCUUUGAGAGCAAAACCAGACAAUUGUGGUAAGCAAGUAGGUAAAAAUAUAAGAGCAACUUGAGCAUCUUCAAAAUUGGGUUAUAAUUUCUGAAAUUAUCAUGAAGCACUGCCCUUUAGGAGCAUAAAUGGAUGCUCUGCUUUAGACCUAGGUAAAAGGAAGACGAUAGGAAAUAAACUCGGAUGAUUUAAAUGUUCAGAUACAUUUUGUAACCCCUGUCACCUUAUCCUUAAGGAGUUUACACUGGAAAAAGACAUGCAUAUUAAGCAUUUAUAUAUCAUUAAAGGAUCAUAUAAGUAAACGCCAAAAUAAGGGGUCAGAAAAUCAGAACUGAAUGAAUAGAUGUAGGCUUCAGAGAGCUCCUGGGAUAGGAAGUGGGGAGGAAGUUAUUUUUUAGAUAAGUAUAAAGUACCUACUUUAAAAAGGAUUUGAGCUGGAUACUUAGAAAUAGGCUGACUAGAAUGAGUACUGUUUUCCACCUAUGUCUAGUAUAGGUGUUAGCCCCAUGGAGAGGCCUAGUGAAAAAGAAGCUUGUUCACCUUGGGGCAAAUCACCCAAAAUGAUAUGAAGAUGGGCAAGGUGGAGCUUUAAAAAAAUACCCAGUCAGGAGUUCCUGUCGUGGCUCAGCAGAAACGAAUCUGACUGGCAUCCAUGAGGACGCAGGUUCGGUCCCUGGCCUCGCUCAGUGGGCUGGGGAUCCAGCGCUGGUGUGAGCUAUGGUGUAGGUCACAGAUGCGGCUUGGAUCCCACGUUGCUGUAGCUGUGGCGUAGGCCAGUGACUACAGCUCCAAUUGGAUCUCUAGCCUGGGAACUUCCAUAGGCUGGGAGUGCAGCCCCCCCAAAAAACAGACAAAAAAAUACCAAGUCGAACCCAAAGUUGAGCCAUAGGGUAUUUACUGUCAUGUGAAACAGUCAGAUUGAAAGAACAUGGAUGUUACUUUUCAUGUGACCCCAAACAAUAUGGCUUGUCUGGGAUUUGUGUGAACUAUAGUAUGAGAGCCUCUCAGUCUAGUCUGUAUUUGGGAACAGUUGCCCACCUAUGUUUUAAGCAACGCUGUACAUCUGAGGGCUCUGAUCCCUCAUUUAUAAGUGAAGAAAAAGCCUGAUGAUAUCUAGCAUCUUAAAUCAGGUCCUCUGUAACUAGGAUAGGUGGACUUCUCCUCAUGUGAAACAAUGAUAUCAAACAAUAUACAGGGCAAAUGAGUUCUAGGAGGGGAAAACCUGUUUUAAACAGGUUUAAAAUGUUUAAAACUUACCUUUUAUACCCAUAUUAAAUGGGAGGGAAAUAACCACAAAUCUUUCACCAAAGUGUAAAGGAGCCAACAUUAAUCACUUCCUAGAUCUAAAACUGCCAAGCUAAAAUUUGUCAUCAGUGACUGUUUGACCUACUUUUCUUCCAUUCUUACAUGGAGUCUAAUCAUUUAUUUGCCAAGAGAUUAAUUAGUUCUCAGAGCCUCCGUGCUAGUUAAUAGUCCCAAAAUAGACCGCUAGUCCCACUGCCCAUUGCUUCUUAGGAGGACUGAUUAUAGGAGUGACAGAAUUUGAGCAAGAUUAUGGCUCUCAGUGCCUUUAUGCUUGUGAAAGGUGUGACCUCCAGCCAUCUUGGCUCACUUGGUCUCUGGUGGGUUACCUUAAUUAUACUCCUCCCUGCUUUCCUCACGAUUCCUGGAGCCUUGAGUAGAUUAAACCUGAGUUUCAAGGUGAUUGUGACUAGGCAGGAUAAUACGGUGAAUCAAAGUCCAAAGUCCGGGCGCUUUUAAUCAGACUGGGGUUUUAAUCAUGACUCUACUGCUUUGGUCAGGUUACUUGUCUGUGCUUUUCCCUGAUCUCUAAAAUGUGAGCUAAUAAUAGUCCUCAUCUCCUAAGACUGUGGUUAUUAUCAAGUAAUAAAACAUAUAAAACUGCUCAGCCACAGAGCAAGUACUCAGUACACAGUAGCUGCCUGCAUUGUGAUAGAUAGUUGAAGGCACAACAUCUUUCAAGCAGUCGAGGCCUGUGGUAAAUUGGAUCUUCUGAGGCUGUCAGAGCCUCAUGGGGGCUGAGGAAUGUGGAUGUCUUUGAUCACACAGUAAACUAACAUAGCAGAAUCUAAAUUUUGCACACUGUAUUCAAAUGUGGAAAACAUAUAGUGCUCUAUAUUCUGUAACUUGCUUUAAUGUUCCCAUUGCUUUUGAUGACAGGAGGAAUGUCACAAUUUGCCAGUUAUUAAGGACAACUCAGUUUCUUUCUGUUAUAAAGAGUCUUUUUAGAGUCAGCUUAACCUCUUUAGGGAAAAAUGCUUAAUCUUUUGGGGUGGUCUUCCCUGCCUUUCCCUUUCUCAAGAGCCAUCUGUUUAUUUUUCAGGACCUCCUGGUAAUGUAGACGAGGAGGCCGUGCUGUGAAUGAGUUCUCCACUGCGUCCUCACUGGUGUUUCAGGUACCAUCUGAAUCUCAUGUUUCAGUGCCUUCUUAUCCUGACUUACUAAACACUGAGUCCUAGGGCUUAGGCUUCAGACACCUUAACCGAAAAUAACGCCCUAGGAGUUCCCUCCUGGCCUCGUGGUUAGGGACUCGGCAUUGUCACUGAUGUGGCAAAGAAAGUAGCUGAGGGUACUCAUCUAGUUCUAGUAUCAUGGUUUUGAAAGUUAUGAAUGUGCUGAUUGCUUCUAAAUUUGUAACUCUAGUCCAGACCUCUCCCUUGAACUCCAAACGUAUAUGUAUAAUCACUUACCUACUAGAAGUCUUCACUAAGAUAUACAACAGGCAUUUCAAAUUUGACUUCCAAAAUCUAAUUCCUGAUCUUGCCCCUCAGACCUCAUCCUCCAGCAGUCUUUCCCAACUUAGUUGAUGACAGCUGUUUCCUUCUAGUUACUCAGUUCAGAAGCCUUCGAGUUGUCUUGAGCUCCUACUUUUGCUAAUAUCUCGUAUUAUCCAGUCUUUGAGGGAGAUCCAGUUACUUUUACCUUAAAAGUAUGUUCUGAAUCCAGUCAUUUCUUACCACUUCCACUGCCUGUAACUGUGGUCCAGACCUCUCUCAUCUCUCACAUGAAUAAUUGCAGCUGACUUCUAACCAGUCUCCUUACUCUCACCCUUACAGUCAGUUCUCAACAAAGUAGUCAGAGUGGUCCAUCUAAAAUUCACAUCAGGUAAUGUCAGUUCCUCUGCUCACAGUCUUCCAGGGGCUUCCUAUCUUAUUCAGAGUAAAAACCAAAAUCUUUUCCUAUGAAGGCCUUUUGGAACUGUAUUCCUUCUCCCUUGUCUGCACCUUGACUUCAUCUUCUAUUCUUUCCCCCUUAAAUUCUCUGUUCCAAGCCAGAUUGGCCCCCUGCUAUUCUUCAGACAUGUCAAGUAUACUUCCUCAGGGCCUUCAUACUUGCUAUUCCCUCUCCUAGAAUGCAUCAGAUUUCUGGCGUGCCACUUCACUUCCUUCAGGUAUGAUCAAAUGUCACCUUAUUAGGGAGAUCUUUUGUGACAAACCUAAUUUGUACUGCAAAAUCUAGAAGUUGCCCUCCUCUAUUCUCCUUAGGAAUCUCCAGCUAAUAGAUUUUUUCAAAAAAUCAAAUAUAUUUUUUUUAAUUUUCACAAUGAAAUUUUAAAAAAUGAUGGAAAGGGGCAACAAAAUGUCCCCAAGGACAAAGGAAUUCAACAGAAAAAUGUUGACCUAAAGAAAAAGAAAAUGAUUGUCCAACAUCCCAACAUGAACUUUCAGAAAUGUCAUGCUUAAAUUGAAUCUAAGAAGAAAAAUCACCCCACGGAAGUAAAAGAGCUCAAGAAAGAAACAGUCAGGUAAUAGGAAGUGACAUGAGAUGAUUGGAAGAAUCGAAGCAUGAAGCAGUAGGUAUCAAAGGAAAAACAAGAAAAAACAAA
ensembl:lncRNA